rnacentral:rRNA from 1 species
UAGUGAGUUUGAUCCUGGCUCAGGGUGAACGCUGGCGGCGUGCCUAAGACAUGCAAGUCGAACACAGUAGCUUGCUACUGAUGGCGCGACGGGGUAGGACGUAACUAACCGGUAACUGACCUACCCCGUAGUCCCGCACAACGGUCCGAAAGGACCGCUAAUUCGGGAUGUGAACCCGCACCGUGGUGCGUGUUUAAAGAUUCAUCGCUAUGGGAUGGGGUUGCGGCGCAUCAGCUCGUUGGUGAGGU